UACGUAGGUGGCAAGCGUUAUCCGGAUUUAUUGGGCGUAAAGGGAACGCAGGCGGUCUUUUAAGUCUGAUGUGAAAGCCUUCGGCUUAACCGGAGUAGUGCAUUGGAAACCGGGAGACUUGAGUGCAGAAGAGGAGAGUGGAACUCCAUGUGUAGCGGUGAAAUGCGUAGACAUAUGGAAGAACACCAGUGGCGAAAGCGGCUCUCUGGUCUGUAACUGACGCUGAGGUUCGAAAGCGUGGGUAGCAAACAGG
rnacentral:rRNA from 1 species